rnacentral:rRNA from 1 species
GACGAACGCUGGCGGCGUGCUUAACACAUGCAAGUCGAACGGAAAGGCCCUGCUUGCAGGGUACUCGAGUGGCGAACGGGUGAGUAACACGUGGGUGAUCUGCCCUGCACUUCGGGAUAAGCCUGGGAAACUGGGUCUAAUACCGGAUAGGAGCCAUUUUUAGUGUGAUGGUUGGAAAGUUUUUUCGGUGUAGGAUGAGCUCGCGGCCUAUCAGCUUGUUGGUGGGGUAAUGGCCUACCAAGGCGGCGACGGGUAGCCGGCCUGAGAGGGUGGACGGCCACAUUGGGACUGAGAUACGGCCCAGACUCCGACGGGAGGCAGCAGUGGGGAAUAUUGCAAAAUGGGCGCAAGCCUGAUGCAGCGAAGCCGCGUGGGGGAUGACGGCCUUCGGGUUGUAAACUCCUUUCGCUAGGGACGAAGCUUUUUGUGACGGUAACUAGAUAAGAAGCACCGGCUAACUACGUG